rnacentral:lncRNA from 1 species
AGUGCACUUCUCUGGGCUCAUGUGGUUUCACCAUAUAUGUGUUCUCCUCUUGACAAGUUUUCUCCAUCCUAGAGGAAGGGCCCCAGCUGCCAAACAAAGGGGCUUGGAAGAAAGGGAAAGUGGUGGCAUCGCUCUUCUGCUCUAAGAGCCAAGAUAGAAAACUGGAUUGACCACUUUUUUCCUCUGUUUUUCCAGAAGGAAAUGGUUUCCAGGAAUACUGAUCCUGACUCACUUACCAAGGCAAUGGGCUUAUGGUAUUUGACCCUCAAUGUUCCUCCUGUGCUGCCUGCCAUUCUUCUUUGACUCCACGCCUUUCCGUGUAGAACUUGUGGCCUUUACUCUUUCAUACAUUAUUGUUUUGUUUGAAAAGCCCAGAGCAGCACAGUGCCAGGUUGCAAGGCUGAGAUGCAAUUCAAAAAAUAAUGUGUAAAUAAGAAAGCAGAGAACUUCAAAAAAACAGAAAGGUAGGUAGUGGAUGGAUAUUCAUGCUGAGGACUCGCUUGGUGGCAUUGGCAGCCUGACAUUCUUCCGGAACGGGUUUUGAAGAAGAAGCAAGGAUUGCCAAGUAAUGUGAAACAGGGCCCAGUUGUCAGUUGAACAGUGAGAAAUGGCUGCAGGUGUGACUUAUUGAAAGACUACCUUAGUUUCAAUGUUUAUCAACUGGCUGUCCUCCAGAACCUCAAUUUGGUGUCAUUUGGCAACAAGUCUGACCUAAAGCAAUACAGAUUUAUAAGUGGCACCAACACUAAUAGCACAAUCAUUUUGUAGUGCUUUGGAAUUUGCAAAGCCUGUCAAAUCCAUUGUCUUAUUAGAUCUCUGCAAAUACCCUGUAACA